UCACGUGAUGAACGAACGACUCAAACCCGAAGACUCGAGAGAUGAACUAAUCAAUUCUGUUUCUGGCUCAGACUGCAUACUAGGUUAAGCUUAUGGGGCUGUCACGUGAUGAACGAACAACUCAAACCCGAAGACUCGAGAGAUGAACUAAUCAAUUCUGUUUCCGGCUCAGACUGCAUACUAGGUUAAGCUUAUGGGGCUGUCACGUGAUGAACGAACAACUCGAACCCGAAGACUCGAGAGAUGAACUAAUCAAUUCUGUUUCCAGCUCAGGCUGAGUUGGUUAAGCUUAUGGGGCUGUCACGUGAUGAACGAACAACUCGAACCCGAAGACUCGAGAGAUGAACUAAUCAAUUCUGUUUCCAGCUCAGGCUGAGUUGGUUAAGUUUAUGGGGCUGUCAUGUGAUGAACGAACGACUCAAACCCGAAGACUCGAGAGAUGAACUAAUCAAUUCUGUUUCCGGCUCAGACUGCAUACUAGGUUAAGCUUAUGGGGUUGUCACGUGAUGAACGAACGACUCGAACCCGAAGACUCAAGAGAUGAACUAAUCAAUUCUGUUUCCGGCUCAGACUGAGUUGGUUGAGCUUAUGGGGCUGUCACAUGAUGAAUGAACGACUCGAAAAACCCGAAGACUCGAAACAGGUGAAUCAAUAAUUCCAAUACAGAAACUAUAGGAAGUUGCGCAAAUGCGCAUGCGCGACUGAACAAAUCACUCCCAUGAGACGACUCGUUCUUCCAGAGUCACAUUAAAGAUUCGUUCAAAAUGAACGAAUCAUUCAAGAAUGACCCAUCAUU